UUAGAGAAUAAGGCAGAGUUCUCUGUCCUUGUGGAGCCCAACCCAGAGGCAGAGAGUACACAGAAACAACAAAGCUGUUCCGGAGGGUGGAAAGCGCCCCGAGGGAAAUAGGGUGAUGCGAGGGCAAGUGUCAGGACUGGCGGGAGGCCGCUUGAGACCAGUGGUGGGACAGGCCUUUCUGAUGGGCUGACACUUAAGCCGAGAAAAAGGUGAACAAGAAGACGGCAGUCAUGGUGUCCGUGACAAGAGAUGAAGAUCCAUCCGCCUGACUCUUUAAAUUGCUGCACGACACGGAGUUACCAGCGUUUACGUCACCUGUCACCCGUUCCCAAGGUGUUGGACUUUUUAGUUGGUUAUAAUUUUAUGCUAUUAGUAACAGUCCUUCAGUAAAUAUCUUCGUAGUUC